GACGGAAGGUGCAAGCGUUGCUCGGAAUCACUGGGCGUAAAGGGUGCGUAGGCGGCUUGGUAAGUUGGGUGUGAAAGCCCCGGGCUCAGCCCGGGAAGGGCACUCGAAACUGCCGAGCUGGAGUGCCGGAGGGGAGAGUGGAAUUCCCGGUGUAGUGGUGAAAUGCGUAGAUAUCGGGAGGAACACCAGUGGCGAAGGCGACUACCUGGCCUGUUCUUGACGCUGAGGCGCGAAAGCUAGGGGAGCAAACGGGG
rnacentral:rRNA from 1 species